CUUCUGAAGAGUCCCAAACUAGGACGAAACAACUGUCUGGAAG
rnacentral:hammerhead_ribozyme from 1 species